CUCUCUCCCUCUCCUGUUUCUUCUUCCCCAACAAAUAAACACACAUAAGAAUUAAAAAUACAAAACACACUCUGGAAGCUGAAGAGUAGAAUCCCCACAUAUAUAGUCACGAUUUAAAGAAGAACGAGGGACAGAGGCAGUGGAUUUGAAGUGAGAGAAAAAAGAUUUGGCUUCCUAUCGACAAAUUUAUUGGUUGUGAUUAGGGCUCCAUUGAAGCUCUGUAUUUCAUCUGUUUUGGUCAUCUGUUCAUUCAACAGCUUCUUACCAUAGUAGGAAUCAUUAAAAGCAGCAUAACCGAAGUGAGUAGCAACAGAUAAUGGUUGUAGUAGAGCCCUAUUUAUAAACGUUCUUGAAGAGUGAAAGGGCACAAAUUCUUCAGCCAUAGGAUUUCCGUUCGAUAAGAUUUCCGUUCGAUAAGAUUUCCUCCAAAUCUCUUAUAUCUUUCUUAAAACCCUCUUUGUGGCUAUGGCGAUCAACCCUAUUCUUCAGCCUAUGAUUGUUAUCAUUUGACCCCGAAAUCAAAAUCGAAGACUGUAAAUCGAUUUUGGAGAAGAAGAUUGGCUCUCAAUUAGAACAAGCCACACUCGAUGAGGUGUUUGGGUUUGUGACUGAGAAGAAUAAAGACAACAUUUGGGUGUGUAUGUGUCUAUGGAUGUGUGUUUGCAGCUUUGGAUUCGUUUUUUGACCGAUUUAUGAAAUGGUUUUUUGAAUUUGGGUUUUGAUUUUUGAUUUCUGUAAUGAUGUAUUUCUUAAAAAUGAAGAACAUUAACUCAGAGAUGAACACUUGUGUAUUUGAUUUCUGGGUUGAAGAACAAACAGAAAAAUGGUUUCCUGAAGAACA